UACGUAGGGUGCAAGCGUUAAUCGGAAUUACUGGGCGUAAAGCGUGCGCAGGCGGUUGUGCAAGACCGAUGUGAAAUCCCCGGGCUUAACCUGGGAAUGGCAUUGGUGACUGCACGGCUAGGAGUGUGUCAGAGGGGGGUAGAAUUCCAACGUGUAGCAGUGAAAUGCGUAGAGAUGUGGACGGAAUACCGAUGGCGAAGGCAGCCCCCUGGGAUAACACUGACGCUCAUGGCGACGAAAGCGUAGGGGAGCAAACAGG
rnacentral:rRNA from 1 species